AAUCAUCCAAGUUCAUCUGCUGACCCUGCACAGGACAGCCCCAUAAAUUACACCAUUUGACUGAGAGUGUUCUCCAGAUGCUUCUUGAACUGUGUCAGGCUUGGUGCUGUGACCACCUCACUGGGGAUCCUGCUCCCACCUUCCCACCCACCCUCUGGGUGAACGACCUUUUCCUGCUAUCCAACCUAAACCUUCCCUGACACAAUUUCAGACCAUUUCUUCAGUCCUGUCACUGGUCACCAGAGAGAAGAGAUCAGUGCCUGCCCCUCCUCUUCCCCUCACGAGAAAGUUAUAACAGCAAUGGGGUCUCCCCUCAGUCUCCUCUUCUCCAGGCUGAACAGACCAAGUGGUUCAGAGGAGGGGUUUGACCGAGGGUUGCCCACAUACCUCAGGAGUUUGGGGAAGGGCGAUCCAGAGGCCUUGGGGAGGGUGAAUGGACCAGGCCUAGGUGCUGAGGAGAGAGCCAUGAGUCUGCUGAAUCCGAGCUGACUCCCUCCAGCCCUGAAAAAGUUCCAUCAUUAGUCUAUGAUCUGAAAUUUGAAAGCUGCACAAGUUGUUUAUGCUCUUGGGCCUGAGAUCUGUAUCGGCUGUCCUUGGGUCCCCAGCUGGAGAAGGAAUUGUUUUGUCUGCCUACACUGUGAAGAAAGCUUACCAACACUUAAUAUGAAGCUCAGAAUUACACACUAAAGCAGCACAGAAUCUGAAAAAUACAAAAGCUAAAACUUAAGGCAUCAAAAGAAAAUUCAAGCUGAAUAUGUAUUAAAGAAGAAACUGAUGAAGCUCAUGAUGAGGAAGACUGCGGGAGUGAUUUUGCACACAAGGCAAGGGAAGGUCACUGGUCCCACACAGCACCGUGAAUCUGAACUGUGUGCAGCAUCUACCUCCAAACAUGUACUGCUAUAUUUAGAGGAGUCCAGCAAAUACUAUUGAGUAUAAGAUGUUGAACAGAAACAGUAAUUUUCAUCAGUGUAUUAUCUUCCCCUCUUUACA